GUGUGCGAAACUGUACGUUAUAUACAGAAGUAAUUGAUUUAGUUAUGAAAGCGUGGGUUUUAUAAUGUUUACUCGUUGAAUUAAACUAGUCAAGGAAAUAGCUUUAAAUUCUUCAAACAGAAAUGUCUUUUGAUUUUAAAGGGAAAUCCAUUCUUGUGACUGGUGCCUCUCGUGGGAUUGGUCGGGAGCUCUCUGUGGCUUUUGUGAGGAGCGGAGCAAUAGUUUAUGCCCUUGCUACCAACGGCGAACUACUGGAAGCUUUAAAGCAAGAAUGUGGCGAAAAUGUACGCCCAAUUGUGGCCGAUUUACGAGACUGGGAUGCUACCCGCGCGGUGUUGGAACCACUUCCGCCAAUGGACGGUCUUGUUAACAACGCGGGUGUAUCGCAUGAGUUGAUACCGUCUUUGGACGUAAGCAAAGAGCUGAUUUACAAGAUAUUUGACGUCAACAUCAUGGCCGCGAUAAAUGUGACUCAGGUUGUCGGAAAGAAGAUGGCUGCUGCGGGCAAAGGAGGUUCCAUCGUAAAUGUUUCAAGCAUAAACGGAAUCAAUCCAUUGCGGGAAACUAUGCCGUAUAAUUUGUCAAAAGCCGCUCUCGAUAUGAUGACCAAACAAUUUGCGUUGGAGCUAGGACCGAUCAAAAUACGAGUGAAUUCCGUCAAUCCUACGGUCGCGUUGACGGACAUGAGUCGCGGGUUUUGGAACCACCCACCGGAAAGAGGUGACCUCCUCCGGAGUCAUACGCCGCUCGGGCGGUUUGCUGAAGUCUCCGAGGUGGUGCAACCCAUCAUGUAUCUCCUAAGCGAUUGUUCCAGCAUGGUUACUGGAACUGUGAACCCGAUUGAGGGCGGACUGCUCUCAAACAUACAGUGCUAGGUGACGUUUGAGUAUAUGCGGAAAACUCAUUUUUCAUAGUUAACGUUUAUAACAGUUUAAGUGGGUGACCAUUGGGCAGAAGCUUCUUCCAGAAGAACCAAAAGACUUUCAAACAUUGCUUACAUUUCGAUCGGCUGUGCUGUUAAAAAAAACUACACUUAGAUAACCUAGUCGUAAUUGCGAAAUUAAAACUGCUAUUCAUGAGAAAAUAUAAACAUUCUUUGUACAAUAAAACACCUUUAAUUCACCUUAUAUGUAUAGUUCGCAAAUUCAAGUGAAAAGAAACAAAUAUGAAAAAUCUUAUUCCAUAGAUCUUACUAAAACUGGAUCAAAAGCAGUGCACAUUUGUUUUUCUGAGAUUUUAUAUUUUUGAUGACAGAAGAUGAUAUAGUGCAAGUGCAAUCAAACAAGUUUCUGCAGUUACAAUGCGGUUAACUGUUUUCUCAUCCUACUUUGUGGUUAUAAUAAAUCUUAAAAUUAACAUAUCUUUACAUAUAUCAUACCGUAUCUUGAUUGUAAUGAAACAAACAACAUGAUGUAGAAACUGUUCAUGACUGAAAAUGAUUAAGUAAAGCUUAUACACUAAUAUGUUUUGUGUUUUACCUGAAUUAAGAUAUAAUUGUUAUUGCAUUUGAUUUAAAGGUAUGUUAAGUGUGUAUAAUGUGGUGUUUUUACUAUAGAGUUAUGGAAGGAUGCUUAUUCAUAUUCUUCUUUUGUAGCACUCUGCUGCCCUCACGGAAAGCAGCAUGUUUUGCCGUUCUGCCUUCAUAACACUAAAUUCAUUUAAUACAUAGAUAUACUUUAAAUACAUACAUUUUUGGAAGUUGAAAUAUUAUAUUACUUUUAUUAAACACCAUAUCUAAGAUUUUUUGUCGUAUUGCUACGACAUGUAUGUUAACUUUCUUCAUAGCCCGAUACAAUGUGCCCCUUCUUCCUUAGCACCAUGUUCCUUUUCCGAAGCACCCCUGCUCCUUUUUAAAACUUGGUUAGAGCCCUUAUAAGGAUAUCAGUGAAAUACUACAUUUCAAUAUAGUUACCAUAGCAACAAAAGAACACUUUGAUAAAGAAAUGAAAAAUAACAAGUGUUUCUUAACACAUAGCUACUUAAUAAUACAUCCUCAAAGCAUGCUAUAUGAUUAUAUACUAUAGGAAUGUUAGAACAUUAGAACUUUGCGAAAAACAACAUUAACUUAAAAUUAUAAACCAUUGCAACAUUCUUGUUGUGUAAUAUCUUGAACAAUUUGUAGCAUUUGGAGCACUCUAGUAAUCAUUUUAAUUUUGAAUUGUUCUUAUGGAAUAACAUUUAUGGUUUAUGUUGCUUAUGAUUAUCUUAUUUUCUUUUCCCAUUUUUUUUUGUAUUUCUGACAUGAAUUUAUUUCUUUAAAAAAAACAAAAUUGUAAGUUUGUGAAAUACAAAACAUCUUUUUGAUUCAGUUUGUUUGUAACUUUUGUCAUAGACGCUGUCUAACCAUAAAAUGACAUGAUACACAUGUGACUUUAAAGUAAUGCACCCAAGUAAAUCGAAAAUUGCCAUAGCAACGCCAAAAUAUGAGAUAUUCUGAUUUUCUUUGCACUGAAAUGCUCCCAGGAUUAUACUGCUUCGGAUUCAGUUUAAAACUUAUUUUAAUAUUGCCACUUUUGGUUCCCUUUUAACUCGACUAUUCGAAAAAAUAAGGAUGCUUUUAUAUAAUACUCGCCCCGGCUACUCUGCCGAGGCGUCUGCAUCGGCGUUGGCGUUCGUGUCAAGUUUUAGGCCAAAUUGGAAUUUUCACUUGUCACUCGAAUAACCUUCAGUCAAUACAAGUCAUACUUUACACAGUUGUUCAGGACCACCACACAAUGAGAUUACGUAACUCCAUAUUAUCCGAGAUACAAAUUAUAGCCCCUUAUUGACAUAGGAACUUAGGUUGAAGUUUUAUAGCACAUUGUGUCAGUUCAAAGUUUUAGGGCAAGUUGAUCUUUUUACUAAUAACUCCUAAACCCUUCUUUUAAUUGACUUAUUACUGCACACAAUUUUGACGACUAUAGAGCAAUAAUAAAUAAAUACAUAACAUCAUUUUAUCCUAAAUACAAACUUUGGUUUCUGGUUGAAGAAGAUAUCCUUUACCAUAUUUGUGCACAAUUAUGCCUACUGCUAUUCCUAGAGUAUUUUCUAGGACUUGGUAAUCUUUGUUGAUGAUGGGUCAUGAUUUUUAUACUGAUUACAGACGUCUUCCUUUAUAAAAUUAUGUUGUUGUUUUUAAAUUGCAUUUAAUUAUAUUUAAAUUUAUGUUUGAUAGGAUCAAUGGAACAAAAUGUCAGAAUGGUGUCUUCAUUUUUUUUUAUUCAAUUCCAUUCUAUCAUUACCUAUCUGUUAUAAGCAAGCAAGUGUCCUCACUAUAUAUAUCGUAAGACGUAAUAUAAUCAUGAUAUUUCAGGCUUUCCUUUUAAAUAAUAUGUUGUUGUAUAAUUAUGUGUUCAUCAUGAUUUUGUGUACAACAUGGCUGUAUGAUAUUUGCGUACACUUUCACUUUCAAAGAAAGGUAUACAUUAUAUUAAAGAAAAACGUGCUUUUUUUAGUUAUGUACAGUGUUUGUUUGGUUUUUAGACUGGAAAUUGAGCCCA